rnacentral:rRNA from 1 species
CCUACGGGAGGCAGCAGUGGGGAAUAUUGCACAAUGGGGGAAACCCUGAUGCAGCGACGCCGCGUGAGUGAAGAAGUAUCUCGGUAUGUAAAGCUCUAUCAGCAGGGAAGAAAAUGACGGUACCUGACUAAGAAGCCCCGGCUAACUACGUGCCAGCAGCCGCGGUAAUACGUAGGGGGCAAGCGUUAUCCGGAUUUACUGGGUGUAAAGGGAGCGUAGACGGCAGCACAAGUCUGGAGUGAAAUGCCGGGGCUUAACCCCGGAACUGCUUUGGAAACUGUGCAGCUAGAGUGCAGGAGAGGUAAGUGGAAUUCCUAGUGUAGCGGUGAAAUGCGUAGAUAUUAGGAGGAACACCAGUGGCGAAGGCGGCUUACUGGACUGUAACUGACGUUGAGGCUCGAAAGCGUGGGGAGCAAACAGGAUUAGAUACCCUAGUAGUC